GCGGAACACGUGUGCAACCUGCCUUUAUCUGAGGGAUAGCCUUUCGAAAGGAAGAUUAAUACCUCAUAAUAUACUGAUUGGCAUCAAUUAGUAUUGAAAGCUCCGGCGGAUAGAGAUGGGCACGCGCAAGAUUAGAUAGUUGGUGAGGUAACGGCUCACCAAGUCAAUGAUCUUUAGGGGGCCUGAGAGGGUGAUCCCCCACACUGGUACUGAGACACGGACCAGACUCCUACGGGAGGCAGCAGUGAGGAAUAUUGGACAAUGGGUGCAAGCCUGAUCCAGCCAUCCUGCGUGAAGGACGACGGCCCUAUGGGUUGUAAACUUCUUUUGUACAGGGAUAAACCUACCCUCGUGAGGGUAGCUGAAGGUACUGUACGAAUAAGCACCGGCUAACUCCGUGCCAGCAGCCGCGGUAAUACGGAGGGUGCAAGCGUUAUCCGGAUUUAUUGGGUUUAAAGGGUCCGCAGGCGGGCUAGUAAGUCAGUGGUGAAAGCCUACAGCUUAACUGUAGAACUGGCGUUGAUACUGCUAGUCUUGAGUAUAGUUGAGGUAGCUGGAAUGAGUAGUGUAGCGGUGAAAUGCAUAGAUAUUACUCAGAACACCGAUUGCGAAGGCAGGUUACCAAGUUAUAACUGACGCUGAGGGACGAAAGCGUGGGAGCGAACAGGAUUAGAUACCCUGGUAGUCCACGCCGUAAACGAUGCUAACUCGUUUUUGGGCUUUAGGGUUCAGAGACUAAGCGAAAGUGAUAAGUUAGCCACCUGGGGAGUACGACCGCAAGGUUGAAACUCAAAGGAAUUGACGGGGGCCCGCACAAGCGGUGGAUCAUGUGGUUUAAUUCGAUGAUACGCGAGGAACCUUACCAAGGCUUAAAUGGGAAUUGGCAGCUGUAGAAAUACGGUUUUCUUCGGACAAUUUUCAAGGUGCUGCAUGGUUGUCGUCAGCUCGUGCCGUGAGGUGUUAGGUUAAGUCCUGCAACGAGCGCAACCCCUGUCACUAGUUGCCAUCAUUAAGUUGGGGACUCUAGUGAGACUGCCUACGCAAGUAGCGAGGAAGGUGGGGAUGACGUCAAAUCAUCACGGCCCUUACGCCUUGGGCCACACACGUGAUACAAUGGCCGGUACAGAGGGCAGCUACACUGCGAAGUGAUGCAAAUCUCGAAAGCCGGUCUCAGUUCGGAUUGGAGUCUGCAACUCGACUCUAUGAAGCUGGAAUCGCUAGUAAUCGCGCAUCAGCCAUGGCGCGGUGAAUAC
rnacentral:rRNA from 1 species